UACGAAGGGGGCUAGCGUUGCUCGGAAUCACUGGGCGUAAAGGGUGCGUAGGCGGGUUUUUAAGUCAGGGGUGAAAUCCUGGAGCUCAACCUCAGAACUGCCUUUGAUACUGAAGAUCUUGAGUCCGGGAGAGGUGAGUGGAACUGCGAGUGUAGAGGUGAAAUUCGUAGAUAUUCGCAAGAACACCAGUGGCGAAGGCGGCUCACUGGCCCGGUACUGACGCUGAGGUGCGAAAGCGUGGGGAGCAAACAGGG
rnacentral:rRNA from 1 species